rnacentral:rRNA from 1 species
CGGUAGCACAGAGAGCUUGCUCUCGGGUGACGAGUGGCGGACGGGUGAGUAAUGUCUGGGAAACUGCCUGAUGGAGGGGGAUAACUACUGGAAACGGUAGCUAAUACCGCAUAACGUCGCAAGACCAAAGAGGGGGACCUUCGGGCCUCUUGCCAUCAGAUGUGCCCAGAUGGGAUUAGCUAGUAGGUGGGGUAACGGCUCACCUAGGCGACGAUCCCUAGCUGGUCUGAGAGGAUGACCAGCCACACUGGAACUGAGACACGGUCCAGACUCCUACGGGAGGCAGCAGUGGGGAAUAUUGCACAAUGGGCGCAAGCCUGAUGCAGCCAUGCCGCGUGUAUGAAGAAGGCCUUCGGGUUGUAAAGUACUUUCAGCGGGGAGGAAGGUGUUGCGGUUAAUAACCGCAGCAAUUGACGUUACCCGCAGAAGAAGCACCGGCUAACUCCGUGCCAGCAGCCGCGGUAAUACGGAGGGUGCAAGCGUUAAUCGGAAUUACUGGGCGUAAAGCGCACGCAGGCGGUCUGUCAAGUCGGAUGUGAAAUCCCCGGGCUCAACCUGGGAACUGCAUUCGAAACUGGCAGGCUAGAGUCUCGUAGAGGGGGGUAGAAUUCCAGGUGUAGCGGUGAAAUGCGUAGAGAUCUGGAGGAAUACCGGUGGCGAAGGCGGCCCCCUGGACAAAGACUGACGC